GCUUGGAACACCACAAGGGUAGUUGCUUAAGUGGAAGAGAGGACGUGGACACCACCACACUGGGAGAUCAACAGGAGAUCCAAGGCUGAGGGGAGAGACAGAACACUGACUGACUCAGAGGGACAUGUGAGAAUGGAAUCCAGCGCCAGCCUAUGGGAAGUUUAUGCUCCUGCAGGAGGAUACUCCCACUUCAAGUCCAUUCUUUUGGUCAGAGGCCAGUUCCUGGAAUCAGCUCAAACAAGACAGAUCAAGAAAUGCAAAGUGAAAUUCACAGCCUGAGAAUAAGAAAGGGAACAGGAAUAAAGCAAGAUGGAGACACUGAUGGCAAUGUCCUGUUGCCCCACUUUAAGCGGCUCCUUGCUCUCAAGAAUGGGAAGUCACCAUGUGAUGGACAUGAAACUGGAAUGUCCUGGAUGGCCAAAGAAUAUGGAAAGAGCCAUGUGCCAGCAUAGAGAGGACAUUUGAGAGUCAAACCACGCAAACUAGUCUUCCACUUUCACCUCUGCAAAGAAUGUCUCAAGAACCAGAAAUGAAUGAGGAUUAUGGUGGAGAACACAGAUCUGUCCAUUCAGAACAUCCUUAUGUGCAAGAGCAAAAGGGACUGUUCAUCCUGUAAGGCAAA